rnacentral:rRNA from 1 species
GAUGAACGCUGGCGGCGUGCCUAACACAUGCAAGUCGAGCGAACGGACGAGAAGCUUGUUCCUCUGAUGUUAGCGGCGGACGGGCGAGUAACACGCGGAUAACCUACCUAUAAUACUGGGAUAACUUCGGGAACCCGUAGCUAACACCGGAUAAUAUUUUGAACCGCAUGGUUCAAAAGUGAAAGACGGUCUUGCUGUCUCUUAUAGAUGGUUCCGCGCUGCUUUAGUUAGUUGGUAAGGUAACGGCUUACCAAGGCAACGAUGCGUAGCCGACGUGAGAGGGGGGUAGGCCACACUAGAACGGAGACGCGGUCCAGACUCCUACGGGAGGCAGCAGUGGGGAAUGUUCCGCAGUGGGCGGAAGCCUGGCGGAACAACGCCGCGUGGGGGAUGGAGGGCUUCGGAUCGUAAAACUCUGUUAUUAGGGAGGAACAUAUGUGUAAGUAACUGUGCACAUCUUGACGGUACCGAAUCAAAAAGCCACGGCUAACUACGUG